rnacentral:rRNA from 1 species
ACGAACGCUGGCGGCAUGCCUCACACAUGCAAGUCGAACGAGACCUUCGGGUCUAGUGGCGCACGGGUGCGUAACGCGUGGGAACCUGCCCUUAGGUUCGGAAUAACUCCCCGAAAGGGGUGCUAAUACCGGAUAAUGUCUUCGGACCAAAGAUUUAUCGCCUUUGGAUGGGCCCGCGUUGGAUUAGCUAGUUGGUAGGGUAAAAGCCUACCUAGGCGACGAUCCAUAGCUGGUCUGAGAGGAUGAUCAGCCACACUGGGACUGAGACACGGCCCAGACUCCUACGGGAGGCAGCAGUGGGGAAUAUUGGACAAUGGGCGAAAGCCUGAUCCAGCAAUGCCGCGUGAGUGAUGAAGGCCUUAGGGUUGUAAAGCUCUUUUACCCGGGAUGAUAAUGACAGUACCGGGAGAAUAAGCUCCGGCUAACUCCGUG